rnacentral:lncRNA from 1 species
GCUCCCUUUUCAUCUUCCGAUGUGCUUCUCUUUGCCUCUCCCGCAGCAAAUAAGAGGUUCCCGGAGCCUCCACUGCGCUCAGUAGAGCAAACUGCCCCCAGAGAGGUGUCUUGGGAAAGAGGACCGUCCCCCCGAAGCCCCUUGGGAAAACUGCCUUCCCUUUCACAGUGAAACAGCGUAACCGUGGGUACCCCGUGCACUUCGAAGACCUGUACGAAUUAAAGCCUCACCGGAGUCAGAGCGCAGGAGAGGCGUCUGACCCAGGCCGGACCCGGACCCCCAAAGGCCACCGGCGCAGCUCGGCGCAGCUCGGGAAGGAAAGACGAGCCCGACCCCGGGCCGCAGCGCAGGCGUCAACGGACCAGAGCCCAGGAGGCAGCCCUCGGGUGAAGGGACACCAUGCCAGGCAGGCCCGCUCCCAACCCCAGGAGGGUCCGCGGCCAGGCUGCUUUCUCCGGAGGAGGCGCCUGUUAACCCCGCACACAUCCGUGCCUGUUUGCCCUCAAGUCCUUGCAACAAAUGAUGCGAUUAAACGCAGACAUCCACAUCGCAAAAAGAGAUCCUGCGUCAUGUCGUGUCUAAAAAUUAAUUUCUAGAUUUAAAGGUGAAAGCUAAAGGAGUAAAGUUUUCAAGGAAAACGGGGAAAAAUCUGCUUGAUUUAGGAGCAGGUUAAGGCUUCUUGGCAGUAACCCUAAGAGAAUAAAUAGAGAAAUUAGAGGUCA